GUGUACGGCCAUACCAUACCACCCUUAUCUCGAAAGUUAAGCAGGGCCAGGCUGGGUCAGUACUUUGAUAGGAGACCACCCGGGAAUACCAGGGGCAAUAGGCU
ensembl:rRNA 5S_rRNA 5S ribosomal RNA